AACGAACGCUGGCGGCAUGCCUAACACAUGCAAGUCGAACGAGACCUUCGGGUCUAGUGGCGCACGGGUGCGUAACGCGUGGGAACCUGCCUUUAGGUUCGGAAUAACUCAGAGAAAUUUGAGCUAAUACCGGAUGAUGUCUUCGGACCAAAGAUUUAUCGCCUUUAGAUGGGCCCGCGUUGGAUUAGCUAGUUGGUGGGGUAAAGGCCUACCAAGGCGACGAUCCAUAGCUGGUCUGAGAGGAUGAUCAGCCACACUGGGACUGAGACACGGCCCAGACUCCUACGGGAGGCAGCAGUGGGGAAUAUUGGACAAUGGGCGAAAGACUGAUCCAGCCAUGCCGCGUGAGUGAUGAAGGCCUUAGGGUUGUAAAGCUCUUUUACCCGAGAUGAUAAUGACAGUAACGGGAGAAUAAGCUCCGGCUAACUCCGUG
rnacentral:rRNA from 1 species